rnacentral:rRNA from 1 species
AUUGAACGCUGGCGGCAUGCUUUACACAUGCAAGUCGAACGGUAACAGGCCGCAAGGUGCUGACGAGUGGCGGACGGGUGAGUAAUGCAUCGGAACGUGCCCAGUCGUGGGGGAUAACGCAGCGAAAGCUGCGCUAAUACCGCAUACGAUCUAUGGAUGAAAGCGGGGGACCGUAAGGCAUCGCGCGAUUGGAGCGGCCGAUGUCAGAUUAGGUAGUUGGUGGGGUAAAGGCUCACCAAGCCAACGAUCUGUAGCUGGUCUGAGAGGACGACCAGCUAAACGGCGACUGGGACACGUCCCAGACCACUCCGGGAGGCAGCAGUGGGGAAUUUUGGACAAUGGUCGCAAGCCUGAUCCAGCGAUGCCGCGUGCAGGAAGAAGGCCUUCGGGUUGGAAACUGCUUUUGUACGGAACGAAACGGUCCUGGUUAAUACCUGGGGCUAAUGACGGUACCGUAAGAAUAAGCACCGGUUAACUACGUGCCAGCCGCCGCCGUAAAAC